GGCAACUUGGCCGAGCGGUUAUGGCGCUAGCUUCAGGUUUCUGAUUCGAAGAAUCGGCAGAAUGAUCGCUAGUUCGAAAGAGCGUGGGUUCGAGUCCCACAGUUGUCA